GGCGACCGGCAGACGGGUGAGUAACGCGUAUGUAACCUACCCCAUACAGAGGGAUAACCCGGAGAAAUUCGGACUAAUAUCUCAUAAAACCACAGAUGGGCAUCCAUUAAUGGUUAAAGUUCCGGCGGUAUGGGCUGGGCAUGCGUAACAUUAGCUAGUUGGUAGGGUAACGGCCUACCAAGGCUACGAUGUUUAGGGGUCCUGAGAGGGUGGUCCCCCACACUGGUACUGAGACACGGACCAGACUCCUACGGGAGGCAGCAGUGAGGAAUAUUGGUCAAUGGGCGCAAGCCUGAACCAGCCAUCCCGCGUGCAGGAAGACGGCCCUAUGGGUUGUAAACUGCUUUUCCAGGGGACGAAUAGUUUCUAUGUAUAGGGACAUGACGGUACCUUGGGAAUAAGCAUCGGCUAACUCCGUGCCAGCAGCCGCGGUAAUACGGAGGAUGCGAGCGUUAUCCGGAUUCAUUGGGUUUAAAGGGUGCGUAGGCGGACUUAUAAGUCAGUGGUGAAAACCUGCAGCUUAACUGUAGAACUGCCAUUGAUACUGUAAGUCUUGAGUAUGGUCAAGGUAGGCGGAAUGUGUAAUGUAGCGGUGAAAUGCUUAGAUAUUACACAGAACACCAAUUGCGAAGGCAGCUUGCUGGGCCAUUACUGACGCUGAUGCACGAAAGCGUGGGGAGCGAACAGGAUUAGAUACCCUGGUAGUCCACGCCGUAAACGAUGA
rnacentral:rRNA from 1 species